rnacentral:lncRNA from 1 species
GUGGCUAUGAAGACAGACAUUUAUUCUUAUUAAGCAGACAUGUAAUUAAAUGGACAGACCUACAACCCAGUGGAAUGGACCGACCCAUGUGUUGGUCCCCAAUCAACUCUAUACCCAUGGAUUCUGUGCCCUGGCCACAGCCAAUACCAACUCUGAGCCAACUCUGAAUUUUGUUUCCUUUCUGUUUGGGGCUGCAGAAGUGCCAAUCAACCAACAGGCUUGAUCUUGGAUGAAGACAAAAUCCAGAAUAGAAGAUCCUGAUUGGAUUCCACUUUAUAUUGGAGAUACUUCAUUGUUGCAAAUAGUCCUAAAAUGCACAGAGCCACACAGGCAGAACGUAACCAACUUAGUCUCCCUGGAACUGGUGACUGCAAUCCUGUGGGGGGCCUUGCCCCCCCCCCGCUAGAACUCUUGAGUGUCUUUUACGGGCAUGUCUGGGCCUGCUGCAAGUCUACCCGGCAACAAGGAAAUAGCCCCAGUACCCUCGCCUUGCUCCUCCCCUCUAGCGCUACCGUAUAUAUGCUGUAGCAGCUUCCGCAAUAAACGAGACUUGAUCAGAAACCUGUCUUGUCUCC